ACGAACGCUGGCGGCAUGCCUAAUACAUGCAAGUCGAACGAGAUCUUCGGAUCUAGUGGCGCACGGGUGCGUAACGCGUGGGAAUCUGCCCUUGGGUUCGGAAUAACUUCUGGAAACGGAAGCUAAUACCGGAUGAUGACGUAAGUCCAAAGAUUUAUCGCCCAAGGAUGAGCCCGCGUAGGAUUAGGUAGUUGGUGAGGUAAAGGCUCACCAAGCCGACGAUCCUUAGCUGGUCUGAGAGGAUGAUCAGCCACACUGGGACUGAGACACGGCCCAGACUCCUACGGGAGGCAGCAGUAGGGAAUAUUGGACAAUGGGCGAAAGCCUGAUCCAGCAAUGCCGCGUGAGUGAUGAAGGCCUUAGGGUUGUAAAGCUCUUUUACCCGGGAUGAUAAUGACAGUACCGGGAGAAUAAGCGCCGGCUAACUCCGUG
rnacentral:rRNA from 1 species